GCCUGGGUGGCUCAGUCCAUUGAGCGUCUGACUUCAGCUCAGGUCAUGAUCUCACGGUUCGUGGGUUCAAGCCCCGUGUCAGGCU
rnacentral:tRNA from 1 species